rnacentral:rRNA from 1 species
AACGAACGCUGGCGGCAUGCCUAACACAUGCAAGUCGAACGAGACCUUCGGGUCUAGUGGCGCACGGGUGCGUAACGCGUGGGAACCUGCCCUUAGGUUCGGAAUAACUCCCCGAAAGGGGUGCUAAUACCGGAUAAUGUCCUCGGACCAAAGAUUUAUCGCCUUUGGAUGGGCCCGCGUUGGAUUGGCUAGUUGGUAGGGUAAAAGCCUACCAAGGCGACGAUCCAUAGCUGGUCGGAGAGGAUGAUCAGCCACACUGGGACUGAGACACGGCCCAGAAUCGUACGGGAGGGAGGAGAGGGGAAUAUUGGACAAUGGGGGAAAGCCUGAUACAGCAAUGCCGGGUGAGUGAUGAAGGCGUUAGGGUUGUGAAGCUCUUUUACCCGGGAUGAUAAUGACAGUACCGGGAGAAUAAGCUCCGGCUAACUUCGUG